UGCUUUGCUUAAUGAUAAAGAUACUGAAAUAAUUGAUGUUAAAAAUAUUAAUUCAAAGAAUGAUUUUUCUGUCAGUAAAAGACAAAACUGAUUAUAUUACUUUUUACUAUUAUAUUAUUUAAACAAUUUGAUUUUAUAUUUUCAUUUAGAAUAUUUGAUAUCAUCCAUGAUAUUUUUUAUAUUAUGUUGAAUUUUUAAUUUAUAAAAAUAUUAUUUUAAGAAAAAAUAUAGGGUUCUAAGCUAGUUUAUAGUUUAUUAGCAUAGUGGAU
rnacentral:lncRNA from 1 species